rnacentral:misc_RNA from 1 species
GAUGAAGAACGCAGCGAAAUGCGAUAAGUAAUGCGAAUUGCAGAUUUCAGUGAAUCAUCGAAUCUUUGAACGCACAUUGCGCCCGCCAGUAUUCUGGCGGGCAUGCCUGUUCGAGCGUCAUUUCAACCAUCAAGCCCUGCUUGCGUUGGGGUCCUGCGGCUGCCCGCAGGCCCUGAAAACCAGUGGCGGGCUCGCUAGUCACACCGAGCGCAGUAAUACAUCUCGCUUUGGGCGUGCGGCGGGUUCUUGCCGUUAAACACCCCCUUUUUACCAAGGUUGACCUCGGAUCAGGUAGGAAUACCCGCUGAACUUAAGCAUAUCAAUAAGCGGAGGA